GUAUUUGAGAAAACCAAAAAAAAUAAAUAAAUAAAUUAGUUCGCUCUGAUUUCAAAUGAAUUAUGGGAAUCGAAUCAACCCAAAUUUGAAGGAGCUCUAGUGUUUUCAUUUUUAUGAAAGCAAGAUUAAAUAUUUAGUACUUCUUCUAAUGUAAACACGGACACACUGGAUCAAGAGGUCAUAUGAUGUCAGUUGAGUUGAUGUUAGAAGCAUCACGUGACUUUACUAUGUCGAGGGACACGUGUAACGUGAUGAGUUCCGCCACGCAAUGUUGGCAGACCAUGAAAUUCCCAAAAAGGACCAGUCAGUCGAUAAAUUAACCGUCAAUGUCGAACCAGAGAAAAAAAAAAAAAAAAAAAAAAAAAAAAAAAACGUUCUCUUCUGGCGCUUCCUUUGCUUCCAUCGCUGUAGCUUUUGCGAUUCCUAAAUAAGCUUUACUUCUGGGGAUGAGGGGAUCGCCGACAUGUCUUCCUUUCCUUUCUAUUCAUCCUCUUUCCUCAUCACACCGUUCCUUCUCCGUUCCAAGAUCUCCGCCGCUCCUACCAUCCGAACCACAUUCUUAGUUUUAUUUUCGCCGCCAUCCUCAUUUAUAAUCCGAUCCGCGUAAAUUCGCCGCCUUCUUGUUGUUAGGGUUCCGAUUUUCGAAACCGAAGCCCAUUGCGGAGCUGCACUCGCUGUCCGUGAGCUCGAGCAGGAUGGAGUGUUUGAGGAAGAUUUCCGGCGGCUGGUUCAGGAGCAACCAGCGCAAUGGCGUGACUAAGGUUGAGGUCGAGACUGGCGGCGUGGAUAUUUUCAAUGCAGCGCAGAGGGCGGUCCCGGACCACCUCGUCAUCAUGAUUGAUGGCCUCGCAGGGGAAGGUCCCCUGAAGAUUUUGAUACUUCUAUCACACAAUCAGUCGGUGCAACCUCAAUCACCUGUAAUUUUCCAGGGUGGUUAGAGACCUUGAUGUCUUAUAUUGCGUGGACAGUAAAUGACAAGUGCUUACCUCUGCUGAUAUGUCGAGAUAUGAUCUAGAACAUCUAGUCAUCUUUUGUUUUGGAUGCAUCCUUAUCUGAUUUGGUGUAGAGUAGUCAUUAAAUGUGCCAGAAAAGAGUUUUCUUGGAGAAAAGGGAGGGGGGCGCGGAAGGAGUGUUUGGGUUGAAGAAUAGAAGUAUAAGCAGACUGUACCUUAUGAUGUUUUGUUCUUUCUACUGACAAACUCACAUCUGUUGCUGCAGCUUCAAUUUUCUUCACGGUUUCAUUUAUUGUAUUCUUGGAUCCAAACAUUGUUGUCUGCUUAUAUUUACUCUAAAUUGGAAAGAAAAACGUGAUUUAGGUAAAAAAAUGAACUAAAGAAACUUUUAUUAUAGUGACUCAUGUUUUGAAUUUUAAACUUGCCUUCUCUUCAAACAGACCCGAUAAAUCGAGAUCAUGUGACAUGGCAAUUAACUUGAAGGCAUUUAUGAAACUUGAGGAGUUGGGAUUGUUUGCCUCUGAGGCAAUCUCCUGCUGAGGAUUUCAGGUAGUUAGGUCCAUUUAUGAAUCUCUCUAUCUUACUAAUGGAGCAAGCUUUUACCUCAAUCGAAUCAAAAGCAGCAUUAACAUCCUCCAAGUGAAUUAUUUCAUCGCCUUCAUAUCCACAAGCUGGCACAUAAUCUUUUUGAAACCAUUUGUCUUCGACAAUAUCUGGUAUGGUCAUUCGCUGUGUUGGUGAAAUAAAAGAAGAAAUAUACAUAAUUUUGUUCAAUAUAUUCAGAAAAUGGUUAUUAUAUUAGAAAGUUCGAAGGUUAUUUACACUUUCAGGAUUUGUAUCAAGUAUUCUGGAGAGUAGUUUCUUUUGGUCUUCAGUAAACCAUUCUGGACAUGUGUAUUCUGCUCUGCAUAUCUUUGUACAAACAUACACAUCAGGUAAGUGCAACUGUUUGUAUUGGACGCUGAAUUUAUACAUUUUCAUUUGAAGCUA